ACAAAGGCCCUUUUCAGGGCCCCCAAACUAUCAAAAAGGAGCUGU
rfam:Rattus norvegicus chromosome 4, whole genome shotgun sequence.